GUAUUAGUUUCCUGCGUUGAGGUGUGUCUACAUUGGUUCUUAUGAUGUCUUUGCUCAACAUAUUAAUUUAUAGGGAAUUCACAGAACUCCAUUGCCGACGUGUUUCCCUUCAGAUUGCCAGUCUGAACAAUACUUUUGUAGUGAUCACAACCUUUGCAUUGGUCCUGAAUUGAUUUUAGUACUUCCAUAAGCUUCUUGUGGGACCAUGCAUGUCCUAGUU